rnacentral:misc_RNA from 1 species
CGGUUCGAGUCCGCUUACCUCCACUGAUCAACUACCUAAUAACUCCAUUGGAGAUUGUUAUUUGUUUAAUUUGACUUAGGUGUUGUUCAUCUGAAUGAACCUAGCUUCCUAUCAUUCCAAAUUUUUUAUGGUUGAUAAGACGCUGGGCUCACUGGUAGAAACUAUCAGUUUGAUUCAGCA